GCGGACGUGGUGAAAUUGGUAGACACACCAGAUUUAGGUUCUGGCGCCGUAAGGUGUGAGAGUUCGAGUCUCUCCGUCCGCACCA
rnacentral:tRNA from 8 species